rnacentral:rRNA from 1 species
GUGAACGCUGGCGGUAGGCCUAACCCAUGCAAGUUGAACGGCAGCACAGUAAGAGCUUGCUCUUACGGGUGGCGAGUGGCGGACGGGUGAGGAAUACAUCGGAAUCUACUUUUUCGUGGGGGAUAACGUAGGGAAACUUACGCUAAUACCGCAUACGACCUACGGGUGAAAGCAGGGGAUCUUCGGACCUUGCGCGAUUGAAUGAGCCGAUGUCGGAUUAGCUAGUUGGCGGGGUAAAGGCCCACCAAGGCGACGAUCCGUAGCUGGUCUGAGAGGAUGAUCAGCCACACUGGAACUGAGACACGGUCCAGACUCCUACGGGAGGCAGCAGUGGGGAAUAUUGGACAAUGGGCGCAAGCCUGAUCCAGCCAUACCGCGUGGGUGAAGAAGGCCUUCGGGUUGUAAAGCCCUUUUGUUGGGAAAGAAAAGCAGCAGGUUAAUACCCCGCUGUUCUGACGGUACCCAAAGAAUAAGCACCGGCUAACUUCGUG